AUGUGUGAACUUUCUCUCGAGCCCUCAUCACUGUUGGAGCAAUGGCUGAGCAGUCGUAAUGCAGUGUGUCAGGAAGAAGUCAGAAGAGGUAACAACAAAGGCAAAAUGGAGCUGGAUGGACUUCUCUUUUGGCUGAAAUCAAGGCAGGUGGUAUCUGCACAUCCAUGGCCUUUCCUUGACUACAAGAUGGGAAAAGCUCGGCCACAUCCAGGCUGCUCCCACCCAUCUGCUCUGAGAGUUCAGCAGUUUUACCAUCCAGGAGGAGCUGAGAGCUGCUCUGGAAGUCUUUUGUCUGUGGAUAUGAAGGUGGUUCUGUGUGCUCUCUGGAAGUCUGUAGAUGGACAGAACUGCUGGCACAGUGCUUUUCCCUCUGUUUGGCAUUGGAUAGCCAAUGACAGAAGUCUAAAAGCAGGCAGGUUAUUCUCCAAAUGCACCACAAAACAACAGCGACAACAACGAGGCUGUUCUGAAGGUGCAAGGAUGCUACAGGAAACAGCAAGGUGGAGAAACAGAAAAAUGCAUUAUUGGCACGAUGACCCUUGGUGGGCUACUGUGAGGAGCCAUGUUGGGACUGAUCAUGGGAUGGCAGAGACAGCGUUUAGCAGUAAUAAUGCCUGCUGGAAUCGGAGUGACUGA
rnacentral:lncRNA from 1 species